GAGACCGGCGCACGGGUGCGUAACGCGUAUGCAAUCUACCUUUUACAGAGGGAUAGCCCAGAGAAAUUUGGAUUAAUACCUCAUAGUAUUAUGAAAUGGCAUCAUUUUAUAAUUAAAGUCACAACGGUAAAAGAUGAGCAUGCGUCCCAUUAGCUAGUUGGUAAGGUAACGGCUUACCAAGGCAACGAUGGGUAGGGGUCCUGAGAGGGAGAUCCCCCACACUGGUACUGAGACACGGACCAGACUCCUACGGGAGGCAGCAGUGAGGAAUAUUGGACAAUGGGCGCAAGCCUGAUCCAGCCAUGCCGCGUGCAGGAUGACGGUCCUAUGGAUUGUAAACUGCUUUUGUACGAGAAGAAACACUACUUCGUGAAGUAGCUUGACGGUAUCGUAAGAAUAAGGAUCGGCUAACUCCGUGCCAGCAGCCGCGGUAAUACGGAGGAUCCAAGCGUUAUCCGGAAUCAUUGGGUUUAAAGGGUCCGUAGGCGGUUUAGUAAGUCAGUGGUGAAAGCCCAUCGCUCAACGGUGGAACGGCCAUUGAUACUGCUAGACUUGAAUUAUUAGGAAGUAACUAGAAUAUGUAGUGUAGCGGUGAAAUGCUUAGAGAUUACAUGGAAUACCAAUUGCGAAGGCAGGUUACUACUAAUUGAUUGACGCUGAUGGACGAAAGCGUGGGUAGCGAACAGGAUUAGAUACCCUGGUAGUCCACGCCGUAAACGAUGGAUACUAGCUGUUGGGAGCAAUUUCAGUGGCUAAGCGAAAGUGAUAAGUAUCCCACCUGGGGAGUACGUUCGCAAGAAUGAAACUCAAAGGAAUUGACGGGGGCCCGCACAAGCGGUGGAGCAUGUGGUUUAAUUCGAUGAUACGCGAGGAACCUUACCAAGGCUUAA
rnacentral:rRNA from 1 species